rnacentral:rRNA from 1 species
AUGGUGAUCGUUGGCAAGGCCAAUCACCUCCUCAGCGCCCCUAAUGGGGAGGGCGACACCCCCCUGCACUGUGCCGCCCGGCUCAAGAAUGCUAGGAUGGUCUCUCAUCUCUUGGCUCUGGCAAGGGCCAGGGACGGCACCGGUGAUGAUGAGAGUGUGAAGGCGAUCCUAAGAAUGCAAAAUGGGGAGGGAGAGACGGUGCUGCACAAAGCCGUCCGCGUGGAAGACAAGGACAUGAUCGGCGAGCUAGUGUCGGCGGACUCACAGCUAGCUCGUGUUCCGCUGACCGACCGCGCCUCACCACUGUACUUGGCCCUCUUGCUGGGUCACAUGGACAUUGCAAAGCUGCUCUUCGAGAAAGACGACAAGCUGUCUUACUCUGGACCGGACUGCCAAAACGCCUAA